GCCCAUUUGAAGCAAUUCAGAUCAUCAACCUGCCAAAGGAUUUGGAUAAAGACACAACCCACCGUUAUGGGCCCAACACAUUUAAAUUGCACAGGUUACCAGUCCCUAGGCCUGGGCAAGUUCUCGGCUUGGUUGGAACAAAUGGCAUUGGGAAGUCCAAAAAGUUUUGGCUGGCAAACUGAAACCAAAUUUGGGUCGUUUCAAUAAUCCUCCAGAUUGGCAGGA
rnacentral:misc_RNA from 1 species